rnacentral:lncRNA from 1 species
AAUGGGCACCCGAGUUUAGGAAGGUAAAAUGAUGUGCCUAAAGAAACUACCGUUUGCAAUUUGCGAGGGCCACGAAAAUUUAACUAGGUGGUACACCUCAAAUUCUAAGGAUUAAAUCCGUGCAAUUGUUAUUUGGUUUGGCACGACGCCCCUCAAUUUGUUUUAAACCAGUUUCUAAAUUACUCCAUGAGUGCCAUAAAUUGUUUAUGCUAUUUAUCAUGGCUCACCUCUAUUAGUUAAUAAAAGGAGCCGGGAGAAUUGUCACUAAUUUAAGACUACCAUUUGAACCAAUUUUAAAACUAGUAAGCCAGCUUGGGCGAGAUGAGCGUAAAAUAUAUGGGUGAGAGUAAAGUAUUGUGCUCGAAUACACAACCCUAUGCAUAGAGAAAUUCAGUUUGCUUCUUAAUCCGACCCAAUGUGAACCCCAAGUCUCUAAAGGCUGAACAUCAGGCACGGGAGGGAAUUUGGGGUCGAGUUCCCAAGCACCCAAAAUGCCUGGUUAAUGAGGUGUAGACAUGAGCACAAUUUCCUUAAAACAUGGAUGCCUCACUUGCUCUCCAUAACCUUUAUUUUACAUUAAUUGGGCCAGUAUUAGGCCCAGGUCUCAGAAUCCAAACACUUACACAUGAACAAAUAAAAGCCAAAAAUUUACGAACUAUUCAGAAACCGCCUCGACACAUAUUAAAACAACCCUUUUCAAUUAGAUUAACAACUUAUAUAAUUACAAAUUUAACUACCCUUAGCCACUCAAUACAAUAGGCUUCAAAUAAGAUUAAAGAGAACCGAGUCACGUGAAGAGAACUAUAACUAAUCGGUAGAGGAAUAACUUUAAAACCCCAAACAACGCAAACCCAAACUUCCAAGAGGCAACAUCAACUGCCUCUCAUUCAACUUUCAUGAAAAUUGAUAUAUUAAUGAACAUUUGAUCAAUCACUAGCAUCACAUCACCACAUACUUAUUUUAAACUCAAUACUUGCUAAUUUGUCCCAUUUGCCAAAUCCACAACUACAGCUAACAUUAAACAAUAAAAGCCUUUAACAAACCUCACUUAGCCAGAACAUUGAGUACGAUUACUGACUAUGCAUGAAAAAAUAUCAUACAGGGCCUAACCUACCUAAUGAUGGUUCAGACUUUAGCACAUAAUAUUAAUGGAUCAGUUAAUGAUGGAUCUAGAUUAUUGGAUCUCUAUUAAUGAACACAAAUCAUUCAACCUUGUAUGAAACCAACGAGCUGAAUUGAAGGUUCAACAUAUGAAUACUAACACCAUAUCACCUCUACUACUAACUGUAGCAUGCUUAACUAAAACUGAUUGGGACAAAGUAAUCACAAAAAAUAAAAACAGAUAGAUUAGAAAAAAAUUAAAUAAUUUCUAUGCUCCAAUUCUUCGUUUUCAUUUCUCAUUCCUCAACUUCACUUCACAAACAAACGAGUUACUGGGUCAUGUACUUGGAAGUAAAAGAAGGAAGGAGAGAAGUGAGGUAUCAGUAAGAACCACAGCAGAGCAACACCAGUUUCAACAGAACAACUCAAAUCAAAGAAGAUUGAUAUGAAGCAGUGGAAGAAACAGUCCCAAUCGAGUUGGGGAUAUGACAACUUCAAACUAGGCUUUGGAAAACCAGAUUUUAAUCCAUUUUAGCUACCUGAAUCAGCAAUCAUUUUAGAAAUCAAAACUUCAAUAAAUCUCAGAACAUGUUCAAUAGAACAAUAAUUAUUUGAACCAGUCAGUUUUUUUUUAAAUUUUUUAUCUCCUCUUGUUUUUUAAUGAGCUUUCCUUAGAAGUGCUUUUAUAGGCAAGGAAAUGGGGAAACAAUUUAGGGAACAAAUUUGCAUUUUAGUCCCUUUUUAAUUUUUAUUUUUGCCCAAAAGUCCCUAUAUUUUUGGCUUGUUUCCCAAACAAGUCUAUUUUGCAGCUUCUAAGAAGCUUCCUCAUGCGGUUAUUCAGAGAUUUUUUGUCUAGAUUACCUAAAUUAUCCUUGACGGCCUCGUAUUCACCAUAGCCUAUUAGCGUAGAAAAAUCCAAGUUCAAUUGAUCCAAGCUAAUGGGUUUAAAAGACCCGGUUCAAUUACUUUCUGGGCUCAUUCAAUCUUUAUGAGCCCAAAUUCAAAUCUAAUAAAGGCUCACCACUUAAAACUCACCCAAAAUUAAUUAACAAAAAAAUUCAAAUCUCAGGAAUCUUAGCCCAAAACCAAAGAAACUAUUUUAUUUAACAAAUAACAACAUAACUAUACUGAUGAAUGAAUUAUGCAUGGCAUGUUGACCCUGAAACAAAUAAACAAAAGAACCAAAAGAAAAAGAAGAAGCAUAGAAGCAGACACAACAGACAUAUUAAUGAAAAGAUGACAAAACAAGAAAGAUACCUAAGAGAUUUGGACAGCAAAAUAGCGAUGAACCUUCAAACUUUUCAGAUUUAGGAUUAAUCUGAGAUUAAGCAUGUGUUUUCUCAUCAAAAACACAUGAAUAACCUCAAAUGAGCCUAAUACUUCAACGAGAACUUCAAUCGGGCAAAACUGGAAUUUUAUGGUUAAACUUGAUUCCAAGAUUCGAGGGCUUCCAGGGAAAUUCGAAGGAAACUGGUUUCAGGUUUGGGAAGAAGAGGUCAAGGAGGUGACCUGGUGUUAUUUUGGGUGCAUUUGGAGGUGGCGCCACCACCGGAGAAACUAUGGUGGCACUAGGGUUUCUAAGAUUUGAAACUUUCUACAAGUAAUUGAGCAGAAUGGAGCGUGGAUAUGGGAUGGGGAGAUGGAGGAGAAGUCGUGGUGUUAAUUUUCGUGAGGAAUGGUCAUCGGCCGCUGCCGUGGGGCAAUCUCCGGCAGGUGGCAGGCGGCGACAAUGAAAGGGGUCUCUGGUGAGUGUUGUGAGAGAUGACUGAGGGGUAGAG